AUACGGAGGGAGCUAGCGUUGUUCGGAAUUACUGGGCGUAAAGCGCGCGUAGGCGGCCUGUCAAGUUGGGUGUGAAAGCCCGGGGCUCAACCCCGGAAUUGCAUUCAAAACUGGCAAGCUAGAGACCGAGAGAGGUGAGUGGAAUUUCCAGUGUAGAGGUGAAAUUCGUAGAUAUUGGAAAGAACACCAGUGGCGAAGGCGGCUCACUGGCUCGGUACUGACGCUGAGGUGCGAAAGCGUGGGGAGCAAACCGGAUUAGAAUCCCCUGUAGUCC
rnacentral:rRNA from 1 species